rnacentral:RNase_P_RNA from 1 species
GAGUGAGGGACAGAUAGGUCACGCUUGAAAAAGUGAGGAAGUUCUGCCCUCCGCGAGAUAGAUUCCUUUAAGGGGAAAGAGAUGGAACAGAAACGGAACCUUUUUUGGGAUCAACAAAAACUUUGUUUUGGUGCACACAAAAAUCUAUGAUUUUUGACGAACCAGAACAGGAUGCAACGAUCAUCUCUCUAUCAAUGACGGUGAAAGGCCUUUUGGCCGCUCUCAUUAGCGCAAGUUAAUGGGCCACAAACUCGAGUAAUCGAUUUGUCGGAAGUCAAAUCCUAUCUAAUUACAGAAGGCAGACUAUGCCCCUCACUC